rnacentral:rRNA from 1 species
GACGAACGCUGGCGGCGUGCUUAACACAUGCAAGUCGAACGGUGAAAGCGGAGCUUGCUCCGCUGGAUCAGUGGCGAACGGGUGAGUAACACGUGGGCAACCUGCCCCUGACUUCGGGAUAACUCCUCGAAAGAGGUGCUAAUACCGGAUACGAAUCCUGCAGGCAUCUGCGGGAUUGGAGAGUUUUUCGGUCAGGGCUGGGCCCGCGGCCUAUCAGGUUGUUGGUGAGGUGGUGGCACGCCAAGGCGACGAAGGGUAGCCGGCCUGAGAGGGCGACCGGCCACGCUGGGACUGAGACACGGCCCAGACUCGUACGGGAGGCAGCAGUGGGGAAUAUUGCGCAAUGGGCGAAAGCCUGACGCAGCAACGCCGCGUGAGGGAUGACGGCCUUCGGGUUGUAAACCUCUUUCAGCAGGGAAGAAGCGAAAGUGACGGUACCUGCAGAAGAAGCACCGGCUAACUACGUGCCAGCCGCCGCCGUAACAC